UACGGGGGGGGCAAGCGUUGUUCGGAAUUACUGGGCGUAAAGGGCUCGUAGGCGGCCAAACAGGUCCGUUGUGAAAACUGGAGGCUUAACCUUCAGACGUCGACGGAAACCGUGUGGCUAGAGUCCGGAAGAGGAGAGUGGAAUUCCUGGUGUAGCGGUGAAAUGCGCAGAUAUCAGGAAGAACACCAAUGGCGAAAGCAGCUCUCUGGGACGGUACUGACGCUGAGGCGCGAAAGCGUGGGGAGCGAACAGG
rnacentral:rRNA from 1 species